UACAGAGGGUGCGAGCGUUGUCCGGAAUCACUGGGCGUAAAGGGCGCGUAGGUGGCGCGGGGAGUCGACGGUGAAAGCUCGGCGCUCAACGCCGAGUCGGCCGUCGAUACUCCCGUGCUCGAGCACUGUAGAGGCAGGUGGAAUUCCGGGUGUAGCGGUGGAAUGCGUAGAGAUCCGGAAGAACACCGGUGGCGAAGGCGGCCUGCUGGGCAGUAGCUGACGCUGAGGCGCGACAGCGUGGGGAGCAAACAGG
rnacentral:rRNA from 1 species